ACCUUCCUUCGGUUGACUUAGUGGCUCCUAUUUCCUGGAAUUCUUUUUCCUCUUCUUCUGUGUACACGGGGUUCACAGAAGAAGACUCAACUAGGGGUGUAAGAACCUGCAUCUUUGUUACUGUAUGGUUCAUAGCUGCCUCUUUGACUGUCUCGCCUGCUAGUCUGUUUCCCCUGGCUUCCGGUUCACUCCCCUUCUGAUGUCCGUUUAUAUGAACUAUCGCUAUUUCUCUCGGGAGUAACAGGGAUUCCAGCACUUGUUUUAUCAAUUCCUCAUGAGCUAGUUCUUUUCCUCUGCUAUUUAUCAGUCCUCUUUCUUGCCAAAUUUUUCAGAAGAUACGUACCACUCCAAACGCAUAUUUGGAGUUUGUACAUACCAUUCCUUUUUUUGUUUUCUAAGGUUCUGAGAGCUCUUUCUAGGGCAUAGAGUUCACAAGUUUGGGCUGACCAGCCCUUAAGCAGUCUUUCAGCCUCGAUAACGCUUCCCUCUAUCCCGGCUACUACAGCAUAUCCAUUGUGCCUUUUACCCUCAAUCAUCCAGGAGGACCCGUCGAUAAACAACCGAGCUCCCACAUGCAACGGGCACCUCAAUAGCAAUGAAUGAACAUAUUCCCUUCCCAAGAUGGCUGAAGGAUCUCCAAUUGAUUUCUUUCACUGCUGUUAUCAACUUAUUGGCUGUUCUUGUAAGAGAAAACCUCUCCUUAAGAUGUGGGUGAAUAAUCCUGAAAGGGUAUGGACCUCGUUUGCAUGAGUCAGAAUUUUGCAACUCAAGAAGACCUACAUGUGAAUAAUUGCCUGUGAAUAAUUAUAUUAACUAAGAAUUUCUGAAGGUCUGGUACCCAUCAUGAAACUGUUGAAUUGGCAAAUUAUGAUGCUUUGUUUUAUUUUGUCCCUUAACUGUGUCCAUCUGUUGGUAUGUAAGGGGGUUCUGCUUAAAGAAUAUCGGUUCCUAAUUAUAAAAACUAAGUAGAUUGCCUUAUUGUUUAUCCAUGUGCUGCUAAAGUUACAUUAUUAAUAAUAAAUUGUUAAUUUCUGUUAGGUUUCUGAUAUCUGUUAUUUUUAAAGUCUGGUUAAUAACAGUUGAGCAAUUUUGUGGUUUAAUUGAAUGAUUUAAUUUUACUGUGUUGCAUAUCUAGCAAUAGGGAGGCUGAUUUGGUUUGGCUUGCUGCCCCUGUGCCAUAACAUAGUUGGCUGGUAGGAUGAGGAGAGGAGUACUAAUACCAGAUAAAUCAUUUUGACCAAGUGGGAACCCAAUAUUAAGUCAAAACAAUUUCAGGAAUAUAGAAUCCCGACACAAGGAUUCCACAGAGUGUGGAAACAGGCCCGUCAGCCCAACAAGUCCACGCCGACCCCCGAAGAGUAACCCACCCA